AGUAGAUUGGACAGUUGCGGUUGAAUUUUGAAAAAAAUCAUCCGAGGAAAGUCCGGGCCCCAUAGAGCAGAACAACGGCUAACGGCCGCCGAGGGUGACCUUAGGGAAAGUGCAACAGAAAAUAACCGCCGUUAUCGGUAAGGAUGGAAAGGUGAGGUAAGAGCUCACCGUGGAUAUGGAGACAUAUCUGACGUGUAAACCCUGUUCGGAGCAACACCGUGGUAGGAUUAAUCGCUUGCUCGGCGUAUCCUUUGGAGGUGGCAUUGAGCAGUAGUGGCAACACUCUGCCAAGAUAGAUAACUGUCCACGACAGAACCCGGCUUAUAGAUUUAGUC
rnacentral:RNase_P_RNA from 1 species